rnacentral:snRNA from 1 species
GGAUGUGAGGGUGAUCUAGCUGCAAUAUCUGUCACCCCAUUGAUUGCCAGGAUUGAUUCAGCUGAUCUGGCUGCUAGGCGGGUGUCCCCUUCCUCCGUCACUGCUCCAUGUGUGUCCCUCCUGAAGCUGCAUACUCGGAUGAAGAUGACAACCAUCCCCAACAGAGCUAGCUAGCAUUUGUUGCCCUUAACGCAGAGAAACUAAAGCAGAUACCUU